rnacentral:rRNA from 1 species
AUUGAACGCUGGCGGAAUGCUUUACACAUGCAAGUCGAACGGUAGAGGGGGCAACCCCUCGAGAGUGGCGAACGGGUGAGUAAUAUAUCGGAACGUGCCCAGUCGUGGGGGAUAACGUAGCGAAAGUUACGCUAAUACCGCAUACAAUCUAAGGAUGAAAGCGGGGGAUCGCAAGACCUCGCGCGAUUGGAGCGGCCGAUAGCAGAUUAGGUAGUUGGUGGGGUAAAGGCUCACCAAGCCAACGGUCUGUAGCUGGUCUGAGAGGACGACCAGCCACACUGGAACUGAGACACGGUCCAGACUCCUACGGGAGGCAGCAGUGGGGAAUUUUGGACAAUGGCCGCAAGUCUGAUCCAGCCAUUCCGCGUGCAGGAUGAAGGCCCUCGGGUUGUAAACUGCUUUUGUACGGAACGAAAAGGUCUCUCUUAAUACGGGGGACUCAUGACGGUACCGUAAGAAUAAGCACCGGCUAACUACGUGCCAGCAGCCGCCGUAA